AGAAGCCAAAGAAAAAAGUCGAUUCGCCUUGGUGAGAGGCUUUUCUGAGGGAUUCCUAAGCGAUUCUUUCUUCAACAUCAUGGAAGGCUCUCCAGCGGCUUGUUGUGGGUUGGGAGCAAGACAGAACAAUUCCCAACUGCCUAAAAGAAGAAUUGCCAUCAUUGGACCGCCUGGAGCAGGAAAAAGCAGCCUUGGAAACA